rnacentral:rRNA from 1 species
GGGCAACGUAAUUUAAUAAUUUUGAAAUGGAUUUUUUUGUUUUGGCAAGAGCAUGAGAGCUUUUACUGGGCAAGAAGACAAGAGAUGGAGAGUCCAGCCGGGCCUGCGCUUAAGUGCGCGGUCUUGCUAGGCUUGUAAGUUUCUUUCUUGCUAUUCCAAACGGUGAGAGAUUUCUGUGCUUUUGUUAUAGGACAAUUAAAACCGUUUCAAUACAACACACUGUGGAGUUUUCAUAUCUUUGCAACUUUUUCUUUGGGCAUUCGAGCAAUCGGGGCCCAGAGGUAACAAACACAAACAAUUUUAUUUAUUCAUUAAAUUUUUGUCAAAAACAAGAAUUUUCGUAACUGGAAAUUUUAAAAUAUUAAAAACUUUCAACAACGGAUCUCUUGGUUCUCGCAUCGAUGAAGAACGCAGCGAAAUGCGAUACGUAAUGUGAAUUGCAGAAUUCCGUGAAUCAUCGAAUCUUUGAACGCACAUUGCGCCCCUUGGUAUUCCAGGGGGCAUGCCUGUUUGAGCGUCAUUUCCUUCUCAAACAUUCUGUUUGGUAGUGAGUGAUACUCUUUGGAGUUAACUUGAAAUUGCUGGCCUUUUCAUUGGAUGUUUUUUUUCCAAAGAGAGGUUUCUCUGCGUGCUUGAGGUAUAAUGCAAGUACGGUCGUUUUAGGUUUUACCAACUGCGGCUAAUCUUUUUUAUACUGAGCGUAUUGGAACGUUAUCGAUAAGAAGAGAGCGUCUAGGCGAACAAUGGUCUUAAAGUUUGACCUCCAAUCAAGUAAGAAUACCCGCUGAACUUAAGCAUAUCAAAAACCGGAGAGAAA